rnacentral:rRNA from 1 species
AUUGAACGCUGGCGGCAGGCUUAACACAUGCAAGUCGAGCGGGGGAAGGUAGCUUGCUACCGGACCUAGCGGCGGACGGGUGAGUAAUGCUUAGGAAUCUGCCUAUUAGUGGGGGACAACAUCUCGAAAGGGAUGCUAAUACCGCAUACGUCCUACGGGAGAAAGCAGGGGAUCUUCGGACCUCGCGCUAAUAGAUGAGCCUAAGUCGGAUUAGCUAGUUGGUGGGGUAAAGGCCUACCAAGGCGACGAUCUGUAGCGGGUCUGAGAGGAUGAUCCGCCACACUGGGACUGAGACACGGCCCAGACUCCUACGGGAGGCAGCAGUGGGGAAUAUUGGACAAUGGGGGGAACCCUGAUCCAGCCAUGCCGCGUGUGUGAAGAAGGCCUUAUGGUUGUAAAGCACUUUAAGCGAGGAGGAGGCUACUCUAGUUAAUACCUAGGGAUAGUGGACGUUACUCGCAGAAUAAGCACCGGCUAACUCUGAGCCAGCCGCCGCGGUAA